rnacentral:tRNA from 1 species
GCAGGGGUGCCGGAGUGGUCAAACGGGCUGGAUUUAGGCUCCAGUAGCAACUGCUUGCGCAGGUUCGAAUCCUGUCCCUUGCA